rnacentral:rRNA from 1 species
UACGGAGGAUGCAAGCGUUAUCCGGAAUGAUUGGGCGUAAAGCGUCCGCAGGUGGCUAUGUAAGUCUGCUGUUAAAGAGUGAGGCUUAACCUCAUAAAAGCAGUGGAAACUACAUGGCUAGAGUGCGUUCGGGGCAGAGGGAAUUCCUGGUGUAGCGGUGAAAUGCGUAGAUAUCAGGAAGAACACCGGUGGCGAAAGCGCUCUGCUAGGCCGCAACUGACACUGAGGGACGAAAGCUAGGGGAGCGAAUGGG